rnacentral:rRNA from 1 species
GAUGAACGCUGGCGGCGUGCCUAAUACAUGCCAGUCGAGCGAACGGACGAGAAGCUUGCUUUUCUGAUGUUAGCGGCGGACGGGUGAGUAACACGUGGAUAACCUACCUAUAAGACUGGGAUAACUUCGGGAAACCGGAGCUAAUACCGGAUAAUAUUUUGAACCGCAUGGUUCAAAAGUGAAAGACGGUCUUGCUGUCACUUAUAGAUGGAUCCGCGCUGCAUUAGCUAGUUGGUAAGGUAACUGCUUACCAAGGCAACGAUGCAUAGCCGACCUGAGAGGGUGAUCGGCCACACUGUAACUGAGACACGGUCCAGACUCCGACGGGAGGCAGCAGUAGGGAAUCUUCCGCAAUGGGCGAAAGCCUGACGGAGCAACGCCGCGUGAGUGAUGAAGGUCUUCGGAUCGUAAAACUCUGUUAUUAGGGAAGAACAUAUGUGUAAGUAACUGUGCACAUCUUGACGGUACCUAAUCAGAAAGCCACGGCUAACUACGUG